rnacentral:tRNA from 1 species
GCCGGGUUGGCGGAAUGGCAGACGCUGAUGCCUCAAAAGCAUUUGUCCGAAAGGGCGUGCGGGUUCGAAUCCCGCACCCGGCA